rnacentral:lncRNA from 1 species
CUUCUCUCUCUAGAAAUCCGAAUUAUAGAGUGUGAGAGAGUGAGGAGAUAAGCUAAUAUCAGUAAUCAGCAAGACAAGAUCAGCAACAAAUGAUCAAAAUCAAAAAUCAAAGCUAAAAGGUAUUAAAACCCUAAAUUUUUGAAAUCCUUUGAUCUUAUGUAAAUUUUUGUAAUUGAUUAUUUAAAGUUGUGUAAUAGGGUGUCAAUUGAUGAUCUGGGUUGAUAAAUCAUGAAUCCAUAACAUCAAAGUGCACGAAUUUGAAGAUUUAAGCAAGUUGGAAAAACCGAAUUCUGUUAUUUUUCACCAAAUGUCAGAGGCUAUAACUCUUUGGUCGAUCUCGAGUUUUGUUGUUUAAAAGUUGUUAUAGGUAGCCUGAUAUGUGGUCUUUAAUCUCCAAAAGGAAUAAAGUUCAUAGCUAUUGUAGAUCGGUAUUUAUAAGCGGUCAAAGUGGGUUGACCGGCAUUGACCGGCUGUUCUUCAAACCCAGAAAAUAUUCUAAGUGUCCAGAAAAUAUUAUUUUGGAAAAUGUCAGGCCUUAUAUCUCGGUUAUCUUUAAUGUGUUUUGUGUUCUAAAGGUUUUUAUGUGUAGCUUGUUAUGUUGUAUUUAACCUCCAAAAAGAAUCAGGUCCAUAUAUAUUAUGGAUUAAGAGUUAUUUAAGGUCAAAGUGGGUUGACCGGCAUUGACCGGAAAAUUCUGGGCAGCCCAGAAUUUUCUAAGUGUUGAUUUUUCUGACAAGGUUUGACCAUACUUUAGCUGCUUGAUUUCUUGUUGUUAUGAUGAUGUUAAGUGUUAGCAUUGUAGUCCUACAUGUUUUCUACACACUUGAAUUGAUAGAUCACGUAAACAAUUCACGAUCAUCAAGUUAUAGAGGUCCAAAGUAGGCACCUCAAACUGUUCUUCGUGAAGAACAGCUUUGGAAGCUACUUUGAUGGCUGAUUUCUCCCGGAUCUGAUGUUGUUUAAACGUUAUGAUUAUUGGUAAUUGUAUUCUGUUAUUUCCUCUACAAGAUCCAAUUUAUAGAUUAUCCAAAUUCGUUCAGAUAAGAG